CUUUUACUCUGUUCUUUUCCAGAAAAGCCAAGAUGCAAGUCUCUUUCCAAGGCUGGCUAGCUACUGGGAAAAAGAAGAAUGCCCAUGGCGUAGUAGCAGGCUUCCACUCUGGAUUCCUCUCUAUGGACUUGUGUAAAAGAACAGAAAAAGUUGUCCAUCAACAAGUAGCUGUUAAGAGAAUAUUACAAAAACCAAAAUCCAUCUUGUACCUAGGUUGAAGCUGGACUGAGCCCCACCUUAAGUGAAACAACAUUAAUGAUCAACUCACUCUUCUAAGAUAUGAGAGAAUCUCCACUGGAUUAAUACAGAAAAAAAAUGUUAUUAAAUGAUGCUAAAUCCGCUUGAGAAAGAGUGUCAGUACGGCAUGGAGGUGCAGAACUAACUGCUGAUUCAUCCUGACAGUCAGGUCAGGCAGGCUGACUCAUUAACUCAGAAGUAUAAAACAUUGAGCUUUUCUUUGAGGCAAGAGAAAGAGAGAAGAGACAGCAGAGGUCUUGCAGGCAGAAGUCAUAAGAACAGUCACUUCAGGAGGGACUUGAGGACUGAAGCUUCUGUUUAUGAAUACAUUUCUGCCUGCAGCCAUUUCCUUUACUGGAAAUAAGAAGAAAGCCUAUAUCUGAACUCUGUGGGAGGACAGGUACCAAAGGAAGGAUAUGAAACUAUUGACUGUCGUGUUUCCAGGCGUCAGUUCUGAUCUCACUCCUACAGCUUUGGAGCUGUCUGGGAGGAUUAACAAAGGCCAAGAUAUUGAUGGGCUGCAUCUGACACACUGCAAAGGCGAUUACUUGUUGUACUUUCCCAUGAUAGUGAUCCUACAAGAUAUUGAAAGGUCCACAGAAGAAACAGGAAACCUCACUUCAAAGGAAGAGAAAUAUUCUUUUAAUUCACUGGAUCACUAAAAUCUCACAACCACUCAGUGUACCAAGGUAUUGCAAUGCUAGAUUGAUGAGGAACAGGAGCAAGAGUUGAGUUGUAAAACCAUUCUGGCACUUUAUUCUGUAAGUGAUCUUGAGGUAAAAAAAAAAAAAAAAAAGCAAGCAUAACUGGUAAAAAAAAAAAUUCAAAAUCAAAAAUUAA